rnacentral:rRNA from 1 species
AAACGAUGUCUACUUGGAGGUUGUGGCCCUUGAGCCGUGGCUUUCGGAGCUAACGCGUUAAGUAGACCGCCUGGGGAGUACGGUCGCAAGAUUAAAACUCAAAUGAAUUGACGGGGGCCCGCACAAGCGGUGGAGCAUGUGGUUUAAUUCGAUGCAACGCGAAGAACCUUACCUACUCUUGACAUCUACAGAAGCCAGCGGAGACGCAGGUGUGCCUUCGGGAACUGUAAGACAGGUGCUGCAUGGCUGUCGUCAGCUCGUGUUGUGAAAUGUUGGGUUAAGUCCCGCAACGAGCGCAACCCUUAUCCUUGUUUGCCAGCACUUCGGGUGGGAACUCCAGGGAGACUGCCGGUGAUAAACCGGAGGAAGGUGGGGACGACGUCAAGUCAUCAUGGCCCUUACGAGUAGGGCUACACACGUGCUACAAUGGCGCAUACAGAGGGCGGCCAACUUGCGAAAGUGAGCGAAUCCCAAAAAGUGCGUCGUAGUCCGGAUUGGAGUCUGCAACUCGACUCCAUGAAGUCGGAAUCGCUAGUAAUCGUGGAUCAGAAUGCCACGGUGAAUACGUUCCCGGGCCUUGUACACACCGCCCGUCACACCAUGGGAGUGGGCUGCAAAAGAAGUGGGUAGUUUAACCUUCGGGAGGACGCUCACCACUUUGUGGUUCAUGACUGGGGUGAAGUCGUAACAAGGUAACCG